rnacentral:rRNA from 1 species
GACGAACGCUGGCGGCGUGCCUAAUACAUGCAAGUAGAACGCUGAAGAGAGGAGCUUGCUCUUCUUGGAUGAGUUGCGAACGGGUGAGUAACGCGUAGGUAACCUGCCUUGUAGCGGGGGAUAACUAUUGGAAACGAUAGCUAAUACCGCAUAACAAUGGAUGACACAUGUCAUUUAUUUGAAAGGGGCAAUUGUUCCACUACAAGAUGGACCUGCGUUGUAUUAGCUAGUAGGUGAGGUAAUGGCUCACCUAGGCGACGAUACAUAGCCGACCUGAGAGGGUGAUCGGCCACACUGGGACUGAGACACGGCCCAGACUCCUACGGGAGGCAGCAGUAGGGAAUCUUCGGCAAUGGGGGCAACCCUGACCGAGCAACGCCGCGUGAGUGAAGAAGGUUUUCGGAUCGUAAAGCUCUGUUGUAAGUCAAGAACGGGUGUGAGAGUGGAAAGUUCACACUGUGACGGUAGCUUACCAGAAAGGGACGGCUAACUACGUGCCAGCAGCCGCGGUAAUACGUAGGUCCCGAGCGUUGUCCGGAUUUAUUGGGCGUAAAGCGAGCGCAGGCGGUUUGAUAAGUCUGAAGUUAAGGCUGUGGCUCAACCAUAGUUCGCUUUGGAAACUGUCAAACUUGAGUGCAGAAGGGGAGAGUGGAAUUCCAUGUGUAGCGGUGAAAUGCGUAGAUAUAUGGAGGAACACCGGUGGCGAAAGCGGCUCUCUGGUCUGUAACUGACGCUGAGGCUCGAAAGCGUGGGGAGCGAACAGGAUUAGAUACCCUGGUAGUCCACGCCGUAAACGAUGAGUGCUAGGUGUUGGAUCCUUUCCGGGAUUCAGUGCCGCAGCUAACGCAUUAAGCACUCCGCCUGGGGAGUACGACCGCAAGGUUGAAACUCAAAGGAAUUGACGGGGGCCCGCACAAGCGGUGGAGCAUGUGGUUUAAUUCGAAGCAACGCGAAGAACCUUACCAGGUCUUGACAUCCCGAUGCUAUUUCUAGAGAUAGAAAGUUACUUCGGUACAUCGGUGACAGGUGGUGCAUGGUUGUCGUCAGCUCGUGUCGUGAGAUGUUGGGUUAAGUCCCGCAACGAGCGCAACCCCUAUUGUUAGUUGCCAUCAUUCAGUUGGGCACUCUAGCGAGACUGCCGGUAAUAAACCGGAGGAAGGUGGGGAUGACGUCAAAUCAUCAUGCUCCUUAUGACCUGGGCUACACACGUGCUACAAUGGUUGGUACAACGAGUUGCGAGUCGGUGACGGCGAGCUAAUCUCUUAAAGCCAAUCUCAGUUCGGAUUGUAGGCUGCAACUCGCCUACAUGAAGUCGGAAUCGCUAGUAAUCGCGGAUCAGCACGCCGCGGUGAAUACGUUCCCGGGCCU